rnacentral:rRNA from 1 species
GACGUAGGGGGCCAGCGUUGUUCGGAAUUACUGGGUGUAAAGGGUUCGUAGGCGGUGCGGCAAGUUGGGAGUGAAAUCUCUGGGCUUAACCCAGAGGCUGCUUCCAAAACUGCUGUGCUUGAGUGUGGGAGAGGCGCGUGGAAUUGCAGGUGUAGCGGUGAAAUGCGUAGAUAUCUGCAGGAACACCCGUGGCGAAAGCGGCGCGCUGGACCACUACUGACGCUGAGGCACGAAAGCGUGGGGAGCAAACAGG